GCGCGCAUCCCCAUCGACCGUUUGUGAACCGACUGCAGGGGAGCCAGAUUCCCGACUGCGAGCCGCUGCCUGUGGAUACCUAUCCCAGAUGCCAGAGCAGGCGCGAGCCACAGACACGUUUCACCCUCUGACAGGGAAGAGGAGGAAAUAAGGGCGGUUAACGGAGUAAGACUUAACAUAUAUAUAUCCUUUUUUUCCCCCCCUCCCUCUCUUUCAACCUCUGCUUCAAAUGAAGAGCUUCAUUGGACUUGGAGUACCGGGCAUCAGUAGGAAAAAAACCCGUUAAUCAACUCAGCUCCUGCGGCUGCCUCUCAUUGCAUUGGAAUAUACCAGCUUGCCUAUAUGCGCAAAAAAACAUGGAGAAUAUAUGACGUGGAUUUAUUUUUUGAACAAAAUUGGACAUCUACAAAAGCGACGAUCCUUCUUUUCAUUGUUUUUUUUUUGCCAUUGGCCUUUUUUUUAUUGUUGUUGCGUUCUUCGGUUUGGUUCGUUCGUUUGAUCCACAUGGCUACUUUAUGAUUUGGUCCUUAGCGAUCCUUUCUUAAUUUCCUUUUAUUUAUUUGUUUAUUUUUUACACUUUUUUUUGGUGGGGGUGGGGGGGGUCCGUUUCGGAGGCGCAGAAGUGGCAUGCCUGGCAGAGAACAUUCGUGGGGAGAAGAAUCCGCGCAGCAGCGAGUGUGAAUGAAUGCUAGUCUCCCUCUCCAUCUGAGACGUGCCAUGGAUGGGAAACUUAAUUUGGAUCCACGGAACCGAUCGGGGAAUAGCCGUCGCAUCGAAUAACUACUGCUGACAGCGAUCAGGACGAAUGUCAUAGGAUGAACACUGCUGGUGGGGUGUGUCUGUCUGUGCUGUCCUCUCUCCUGGCUGUGGCUGGGGCCCUGGCUGCCUUGUCUGCCCUCGCUCUAGCUCCUCUCUCUGCCCUGGCGGAGACUGCCCAUGGGCCUGCCGACGGUGUCCCCAGCACCGGGGCAGAGGGGCCCCCCUCACCCCUCUCCUCACCAUGUUCCAGCCUUGUAGCUGGGGUGCUCUAUGGCUCUUUCUCCCUAAGGGAGUUAUUUCCCUCCCGGGCGCCGGGCUGUUCCUGGUCCCUGGAAAACCCUGAUCCCACCAAGUACUCCCUCUACCUCCGCUUCACCCGCCACCCUAUCAUCUGCCGGACACACUCCCCCAUGCUCCUCUCCCUUGACCACCACCUGGCCAAUCAAAGCUGUCCCCUUCACUUACAGACAACUGCUGCCAGGGAUCAGGAAGUCAUUGAUCUUUGUGGCAGCCAAUCCAACUCAGAGGGACCGUACUCCUUCCUACAGUUUGAUAAGAACUUUGUCCAACUAUGUCUGGCGAGACACCCAGCUGCUGAUGAGCCUCAGGUUUCUAAGGAAUUGCUGGAGCUGAGACUAGUAGAGGUGUUACUCAUUAACAAUGAGAACUCCAGUCAGUUUACCUGCGGCGUGCUCUGCCGAUGGUUUGAGGAGUGUUUACGCACAGGUCACAAUGAAGACCAGGAGGUUUCUGACGGAGAUGGCUGUGGGAUGACCCAGACGGGAUGUAUCUGUCCAAACCACAACAUCAUGGCGCCACCUAUUCCGUUGCUCCCAGAGACGCCCCACAGUUUCAGCAAUGGUUCGCUCGUUCCCGAUGACUGCUGCGUCACUGAGCUGCAUUCCAAUGAAGCAAUCGCCAUAGCACCCAGAGAUGUUCGACAAGACCCAUAUGAUGAUGACGAUCUGAAGGUGAAGACCCAGAGACCUCGAUCAGCUGACCAGCCAGGUGUGUUUCAGGCACAAACUGGUGACCCUGCGGCAGAGGAGUGGUCACAGUGGAGUGUGUGUUCUCUCACAUGUGGUCAAGGCUGGCAAGUGAGGACGCGUUCAUGCGUUUCUUCUCCCUAUGGGACGCUGUGCAGCGGAGCCCUGCGGGAAACGCGGAUGUGCAACAACACGGCAUCCUGUCCAGGUGAACCUGGGAUCACAGGCUCAGUGCAUGGGCUGUGGGAGGAGUGGUCGUCAUGGAGUCUUUGCUCUGUGACCUGUGGGCGGGGCUCCAGAACGCGAACCAGGAAGUGUGUGAACGGAGGCGGGGCUUUGGCUUGUGGACGGCCCGAGAGUCAGACCAAACUCUGCAACAUAGCAGUGUGUCCUGUGGAGGGCCAGUGGUUGGAGUGGGGGUCGUGGUCGAGAUGCAGUGUGACGUGCAACGCUGGAACCCAGCAGAGGCAGAGACGCUGCAGCGCGUCGGUGCACGGCUGGGCCGAAUGUAAGGGCCCCCACCAGGAGAGCAGAGAAUGCACCAACCCUUCCUGCAGCGGUGGAGGUAACUGGGGCAACUGGAACCACUGGAGUCUCUGCAGCAAGACGUGUGACUCCGGUUGGCAGCGUCGCUUCAGGAUGUGCGAGGGCACUGGAAUACAGGGCUACCCCUGUGAUGGCUCGGGAGAGGAGGUCCGGUCCUGUAAUGAGAAGAAGUGCCCUGCUCCUCAUGAGAUAUGUAAAGAAGAGCACCUUCUCUCUAUGUCAUGGAAGAGAGCCUCAGCUGGAGAAACGGUCUACAACAAGUGUCCAACUAACGCCACUGGAUCUGCUAGUCGUCGUUGCAUGCUGGACAAUAAUGGAGUUGCUUUCUGGGGUCCUCCGAGCUUCGCCAGAUGCGUCUCACUUGAAUAUAGAUAUUUACAUUUAUCUUUACGAGAGCAUCUCGCGAAGGGUCAGAGGACCCUGGCUGGGGAGGGCAUGUCUCAGAUCGUAAGGACUCUCCUGGAGCUCUUGCAGAGGAGAAGCUACUACAGUGGCGACCUUCUCUUUUCCACGGAGAUCCUGCGAAAUGUGACGGACACCUUCAAAAGAGCAACCUACAUCCCAGCUCCCGACGACGUGCAGAAAUUCUUCCAGAUACUCAGCCUAAUGUUGGACAUGGAAAAUGUAGAGAAAUGGGAGGACGCCCACCAGGUCGCUCCCGGUGCUGCUUUGCUGAUGAGGAUAGUCGAAGACUUCAUUCACCUCAUCGGAGAAGCCCAGAAGCCUUUCCAGAGUUUCCUGGUGGUUACCAACAACCUCAUGAUAACCGUCCAGCGAGAGCCGGUGUCUGCCGUUUCCAGCGAUAUAAACUUCCCCAUGAAGGGUCGGAGAGGGAUGAAGGACUGGGCCAGAACAGCAGAGGACAAGCUCUACAUCCCUAAAGAGGUCUUUACCAUCCCGGCUGAAGAGACAGAGACCGAGUUAGAGUCUCCGAUGUACUAUGUCAUUGGAGCCAUCUUGUACAGGACGUUGGGCGUCAUCCUACCUGCACCGAACCCCCCUGCGGUGAUCAACUCCAAGAUCCUGACGGUGACAGUUCGCCCGGAACCACAACCCAGCAAGCCCAUGGUGGUGGUGGAGCUGUUACCGCUUUUUAAUGGUACAUCAGAUCCACAGUGCGUUGUCUGGGACUAUGGCAACCCGGAAGCUGGCGCAGAAAACUGGGGCACGGAAGGCUGCCAAACAUCCCCGUCAACCGCAGUCCACACCAAAUGCCUGUGCAGCAAGAUAUCCACCUACGCCGUGUUAGCGCAGCAAGCUAAAGACCCGGAAAUGGGUCCAACCAGCAUGCCCUCUGUGCCCCUCAUGGUGGGCUGUGGGGUCUCCUGCACUGCUCUGCUCAUCCUGCUGCUAAUCUACGCUGCCUUCUGGAGGUACAUUCGUUCGGAGAGAUCCAUAAUCUUGGUGAAUUUUUGCCUCUCCAUUUUGGCCUCCAACUUAUUGAUUUUGGUGGGACAAUCUCAAACACUCAGCAAGGGCCUCUGUACUGUGACUGCGGCCUUUCUGCAUUUCUUCUUCUUGGCGUCCUUCUGCUGGGUGCUGACGGAGGCGUGGCAGUCCUAUCUGGCCGUUAUCGGCAAAAUGAGGUCCCGACUCAUUCGCAAGCGUUUUCUGUGCCUCGGCUGGGGUCUUCCAGCCCUAGUUGUAGCAGUGUCAGUGGGUUUCACCAGAGCAAGAGGUUACGGCACCGCCAGCUAUUGCUGGCUGUCCUUGGAGGGCGGUCUGCUUUAUGCCUUUGUUGGGCCUGCUGCUGUCAUUGUAUUGGUGAAUAUGCUCAUUGGAAUCGUGGUGUUUAACAAGCUCAUGUCUCGAGAUGGCAUCUCAGACAAGUCUAAAAAGCAGCGAGCGGGUGUCCCAGCGGAGGCGCGUAGCCGACUGCUCCUGAAAUGCUCCAAGUGUGGCGUGAUCUCGAGCACCGCUCUGUCCAGCUCAACUGCCAGCAGCGCCAUGGCGUCUCUGUGGAGCUCCUGUGUAGUUCUUCCCCUGUUAGCGUUAACCUGGAUGUCAGCAGUGCUAGCUAUAACCGACCGGCGCUCCACACUCUUCCAGGUCCUCUUUGCAGUCUUUGACUCUGUCCAAGGUUUUGUCAUCAUCACCGUCCACUGUGCAAUGCGCCGAGAGGUGCAGGAUGCAGUGCGCUGUAGGAUGGGGGGAUGUAAAGAUGACAGCGAAAACUCCCCAGACUCCUGCAAGAACGGACAGGUGCAGAUCAUGAAGUGUCCAAACGUGAGCUACUGUGGGCAGCAGUGUGGCUCUCUGCGUUACGGCACAUCCGCGUGCCUGUCGGGUUGCCACCCACAGCAGUUCCCCCCGACGGGCUACCCGGCCUGCCAGCAGGGUUGUUACCGCAGUCUGCCCCGCAGCAACCCCGGGCUAGAGCACAGCCACGCUCAUGAGCAUAACCCCAUCCUGAACAAUACCCACAACCACGCUCAUAAUCACGUCCACAACCACAUCGGAAGCCAACCAACGGAUUUUGAGAAGGAUGUGGACUUGGCAUGUCAGACAGAGAGAGGACACCCAUUCAUAUUCAAGGAGGUGAACACCUGUAACCCGGCCACCAUCACUGGGACCCUUUCCCGCAUCUCCCUGGAUGAUGAGGAUGAUCCCAAGCUGUCAGCUCAUCAGGAGGGGGGAGUGGGGGUCAACUUCACCUCCCUCCCCGGGAACAUCCCCCCUCCCAACCUCAUUGUGCAGGUUCCCAAUCUCAGCGGCCUCAAUGAGCUGAGCGAGACGCCUCUAAAAAAGGAGGUAAACGUAGAUCAGCAGAGGCAGCAACGCAGCGGAGCUCCAAUCUACCUGUGCACCGAGAGUGGCCUGGGCUGGGCUCGACCGCCCCCUUCCUCCAACACCUCCCAGGACGGAAGCGUGGGGAGUGGCGGAGGAGGAAGUGGAGGAGGAAGUGGAGGAGGCGGGGAGGGAGACUACAUGGUCUUACCUCGUAGGACGGUCAGUCUGAAGCCUCCAGCGCCCUCCUCCCAGGGAGGAGGGCUGGGACUGGGGGGCGAGGACAAGCCUCUUAACAUCGCAGUGGAGGAUCCUCCCUUCCCCCCGCCUCCCUCACCUCUGACCCUCCACCCAGCUGAGAGCGAGGCGUACCCGGUGGAUUUUGUGCCGUCGAGCGUGGGCGACAUGAACAUCGCCAUGAACCUCAACCGCUCCUAUGGGACAAUCAAAACCAUGCCCCACGGGCACGGCCACAUGAUGGAUCAGGGUGGUCUCGUACACUCCCACGCAGGACACAUGCACUCCCACGGGCAUUCGCUCCAGCUGAAGCCAGGCCAGAGGCCGUCGGUCAGACAGAUUCUGACAGGGGGAACGGCAGUGGAGAGAACCAGGACCCUGCCACGCAACCUGGGCAGCACCAAUGCCAACAGCAACAUCUCAGCAGAAUCCCUAGAGAGGAAAAGAGUACGGUACUCUGAGCUGGACUUUGAGAAAGUGAUGCACACUCGCAAAAGACAUUCUGAGCUGUACCAUGAGCUCAACCACUCGUCCAAGUUCCACACCAUAGACAGGUAUAGCAGGGACCCAGCCAUGUCCACAUUCAAGUUUGAAUGUAGCCAGACUGUCAGCAGAACCAUGGGCAUCCAAGUCAACAAAGGUAAAGUUAACCCACUUACCCACAACCACCUGUCCUCUCCCUUCCUCCCCCUAAGACAGCUUGCCACAUUGCUCACCUGCAUCCAGACACAAUUUCCAUUCCAUGGCACAAAUGAGGAGGAAUCUGAGUGGCAGAGAGUGGGCCUCAUCCACCAACAGUGUAGCAGAGGCUUCUACUUUACAUGCCUGUGCAGCAGCAUCUGUUUCCCCUUCACUUAGUUGUGUCAUGCUUGCAACUUGUACAUUGUGUAGCUUGCCUGAAACUUUAAAUGUUGGGUGAUUCGGCAAGAAUCUUUUAACUUGCGACUGUCACAACUUUAACCAGUGACGGACAUUGUAUUUGGGGUCACAGUAGCUCCAUUUGCCCCUGCUGUGCAUGCAAAAGUAUAAUUUAAAUGUAUUAUUAUUUAAAGUAAAAUAAUAAUUACGUUACCAUACACCUAUGAUUCCUCUUUAAAGGUUUAGGUACAGUAUCAGUGAACAAAAGUCCUUAAUAACAGUUCCAUGCAAACACUGAUGGUGCACAAACUGUGCUUUUAGUGGUUAAUUAUUUGAAUCAUGGUUGAUGCUUUGAAUGCUGAUGGGGCGGAAAUAUAAAGGCACUUAUGGUGAUUGCAACUCACCAGAAACCAGUCUGUCAGCCAAAAAGCCCAUAACAGAUGAAUGAUGAACAGAUGAACCAGUCGCCCAACCCUGACGUCUUUGGCUUUCUGCAUGGGUUUCACAUGACAGAGGAAAUAAAAGAGAGAAGAAGAAUGACGGAAAAAUGACAAGGACAGCAGAGAUGGAAAGAUAAACAAUAUCUAGUGAUAGAUAAACCUAGAUUAGUUUAAUUGAAUGUCUACAUCUAUUUUCAUCAGUUGGGAUACUGAUGGAUACCAGUUGGCAAACUCUUUGAUUUCAUUUCCAAAACAAUGUGGCUGAGGACGAACCCACUUUUUAGUGGUCCAAACGAAUGUGUGUACCUGUACACAUCUCAAAUAUUCGUUUCCCUGGUAAUUAAUAUAUCUAAACUCAAAUUUUACUGGGUCUUUAAAGUAUAAAACUGUGCUAUACUAAUUGCUAAUUUAAACAUGUGGGCUAAGCUAUAAAGCACAUCAACUAUGGCAGUAAAUCAUGACAACCCACGGCACACACACACACACACACACACACACACACACAGUCAAUACAGCCAAUAUUAGCCAAGUGGUUGGAGACACUAAACGGACGUAGUUUCUGCCCAGACUUUAGGCAGACUGAUAUAGAAAGUACAAACUACAUGACACCACUCCUCCCAAUACCAUCGCACCCCCAAACCAAACGUCUCAUGACGCACGCAUAACUGUUCAGAUCUGCCAGCCAGUCAUAACAAUCAGACAGCUUGACCCAAAACUACAAGACUUUUCUGUUUUGGUGCACUGGUGUCGCUGGAAUCAUCAGAAGCUCACACACUAACCAUCCAACUAGGAAAACACCCGAUACUUCAGAACACUUGUACACUUUGGACAAAAAACACCACCCAUACAGAAGCAAACCAUAAGCAGCUUCUAAAAAGAAGAAGAAGAAGAAAAAAAUACAUGAAACUUAAAAAACCCUAUAGAAAACUGCAGUGGUACAGCAGGGGGAAGUAAGGUUUAUGUGUUUAAGCCAGAGGCGGAACAUACAGAGUCAGCAAUGUCCACUUUAUAGCCUGGCUUUAACUAUUUUAUGUGUUGUGUUAACACAUACAGUAUAAAAUCAAUAAUGCAGAUAGUGUAGAUAGCAUUUCUAUGCACUAGAUAACCGGAAUCGUUAUCCACUUUCAACAUUAUUUAGAAAACAUGAGCUCCGAAGCCUCUAGCACUGCACAGCAGAUUCACUGCUUUUAGAAUCAGAUUACUCAACGCCCACAUGCCAUCCUUGCUUUUAUCCCCAUAGUAGUUGUAGUUGCUUAGUGGUGUGUAGCGUGUAGAGUCCUUUAGUCACUCUGCCCUUGCUUUGUCCCUUUCUCUCUAAGCUUUGACAGGUUAGGAUGGUAAAAGCACUGCCUGUUCCAACACGGUUGGAUUAUGUGUGCGUACCUAUGCUCACAUUGCGCUUUUGCUCCCUUGUUUCUGUUCAUGAGUGCGUGUUGCGAGUGUGGUGAGCGGGAUUGAGAGAUGGAGUGAGAGAGAAGGAGUAAGGUGUAAAGCACAAAGCAACAACUGCCUGAUCACCUGCUGAAGGUGUGGGAACAAUGCUAUUGUUUCAGGGCAGAGUUGUCAGUGACUCUGAUUCCCCCACCCCCACCCCUUCUGCUCUCUCGUUCCUUUCCUCUCCCUUGUCACCCCCUUCCUCCUCUUCUCCCUACCAUUUCAUCACCACAGAGGGAAAAGCGAUGGAGCAUUUCGUCUGCCGGAGGUGAAAAGAACUCGUCGAGUGACAAGUCCACCCCGGAGGACCAGAGCUCCUGGGAUAGCUUCAAGAACAUGACCCCCGAGCUGUCCAUCGUGCCUGGGGAGCAGAAGGACCGGAUGGAGCUGCACAAUAAGAACUGGGACUCCUCCUCAGCCAACACGCCUGACUCGUCCGAGGGAGACUUCCAGACUGAAGUGUGAUGACACACUCACAUACACACACGCUCAGUUGGAUACACUCGCGCUCAUUGCCGAGGCAGACUUCUGAAAAGCUAUACAUAAGUACAUGAUUUCUCGCAAAGAUCUCACACACACUGCUCCCCAUCUCCUGCAAUGUGCUCCUGUUGGAUCCCAUACUGUAUUUGUUUACUGCUGCUGAGGACAGACAUGGAAAGAAGACUGUUCUAACCUAUAUUUUCGCAAAGACUAUUGUAAAGAAAGAACAGGGGCUUGACACGUCUGGGACUGAAGACAUUUUUUAAAUGAACUUAAAAGAAACUAUGAAAAACUUAUUUCUGAGAAAAAAAAUGUCUUGAUUUUAUUCUGGAGAAAAAAAAAAUCUCUUUCAGUUGUUUGAUGAUUUGGGGAGGGGGGGAAGAAACAGAAUAUGUCUGCACCGUUGAGUUUUUUUUUUUUUUUAUAGCAAGGGGGAAAAAAAAUUCUCACUGAGGUUUCUCACACUGGUAGCCCCCCCUAGGCACGCUUUCAUUUAUUUCUUUUUUUUCCAUUCUAAUGGAUGAUGGAAGCAUUUGAUCUGUUUUUCCUUUUUGUAUUUAAAGUUUUUUUCUUGUCAUUUUGGACGGAGAGGGGACGGGGGACGGGGGACGGGGGGAAGAGCUGCUCAUUGAAAUGUGCCAUCCUCGCUGCUUUUUUUCAGGUUCCAGUUCAACAAUCCCAUCCAUCCAUUCCUCUCACAGCCUCUGUGUCAACACUGUAUUCCCCCUUAUUUGUGUAUUUUCUAUGGUUUAGUUAAAAAAAAAAAAUGUCCUCCUCUAUGGUUUGAAACUUUUAAUGAAAAAAAUAAUACGAUUGAAACAACUGUUCAAGAAGAAUUGAUUUAUUUUCAGACUGGUUUGAUUUCUGCUUCAGCUGCCUUUUUUUCAUAUUUUUUUCAUUUCCUGUGAGAAUUAACCCAUGUGGAACUUCUUCACAAAAAGAUUCAGGACACACACAGCACAUAAAUGGGAGCUUACUUUCCGAGGUAAUGUGUGCCGCGUGUUAUCCACCCACGAGGGAAAAGGAUAGUGAUCGUCAUGCAGAUUUUGCUUCUCCUUCUUUUCUUUUUUUUUUUUUUCUCCCAGUGCUCGGAGAUAAAAGCCUUUUAAAGAUUGCAGCAUCUGAAUCUAUUUCAGCCAUCACCAAUCACAGUGAAAAAGAGAAUAUCUCAGUCAUUUUCGACCCAAAUGUAAUCUGUGCGAGCUCUGUUUAGCAUCUCAUUCUGCAAAAAAGUACGCUUAUGCCGCAGAGUGAAAUAUCAAUCAGUUUAAUGUCUGCUUGCUCUUUUCCUGUAACUGAGGGAACAUUGUUAGCUUCACAUGACGUGAGGUUUUUCAAGCCAAUGUGUCAAACUAGAUACAACCUGAGCCAAAUAGUCUUCUUUUCCCAACAACCCCAUCAUGGAUUUAAAGAGAAACUUGCCUUCCUUUGCUUUUGUCUUUUCCCUCCUUCUUCUCUUGCUGUCCACCCAGCGUCGUGCUACAAUAAGGCAUGGGAUCUUAAUGUUAGCAGUGAAGCCAGAUGUUUAAUUUCUCCUCAUGGAUCCCAGUCAGUGUGAUUGCAUCCUGCACUUGUGAUCGCAGCAGAAAGAGACAAUAGAAAGACAGAGAGGUUACAAGGCUACAAGGUGGAAACCGGUGAAACAAAAAUAAAAGCCAUUGGCGAUGCCACCUGCAUGACAUUCUAGAUCUAUACUUCUAUCGCUACCAGCAACCAGUUUCCUGUCGUUGCUACGUGAGCACAUCCGACAAACAGACAGGGUCAGAGUCCAGGAUGAAGUCAGUAGAUGGCUCAACAACUUUUCUGUCUCUGUCCAAAGCGGCUCGCAUUAAUCAACAGUUUUUAGAAAGAGAUGAGAGACAAUUUAGGGAGAAAAAAGCAAAUGGUAGCCACGGGUUAAAGAUCCGAAAAAUACAUAACGAGAAAGCUAGAGGCAUGCAAAGCUGCAGAUUAAGAAGGGCGAGUGCUCAAAACAGUAAGUAUCCGGGGAUGGCGAUUUGUCCUGACAUUUUCCAAUUCAGCCCUCAAACCAUCUGUUUUAAGAUCCCUACUGUGGUGCUAGAGCGGCACGGCGCAGAUGGUGAGAUGAGAGCGGCCCUGCUAACCUUUCAAGCUAAUCAGCUGAUAGGGGAACCUACACCCUGCUCGCUCUCAGAGGAGCCAGAUAGGUUCGGCCCCCAGGUUACAGAGCGUAGGUCACAUUCACCUCACCUUCCGUGAGGCUGGGGAUCCCGAUCUACUCUACAGUGUGUCCAAACUUGAAAAAUAAGCCCGUCCGAGAACACACUCCGUCAAUGGGUGUUAAUCUAUAGCAGAGGAAAAGCAGAUUUGACCUUUACACAGACACCCUAGGUUUUUAUUUAUAAAAAGUGAGCAUUCUAGAGAGAAUGCUCAAGAUGAGUUCGCUACAAAGCCUUGUUCCCAUGGUAACUUAGGAAUGGGAUAUGAAGAAAGACAAAGAAAUGUGAAUGUUUGUUUGAUUGGAGCGCGCUAGGAGAUUUUUUUUUUUAUUUACAACUUCAGUUGGUGAGCUUUUCUUUGUUUUAAUCUGAAUGACAGGUUUCACCUCAGUGAGGGCUGGACUUUUAAGUUUCCAUCUUCAGGAACGGUAAGUGAGAUGCUGCUUGAAUGAUUGAGAGUGAGAGUGAGAUGUCUGACCGAUCAACACAACUAAGGAUCAUCUUACAAUUUUACGGUCGUCUUUUCUAUGAUGAGCUCUGGUCAUGAUGCGAAUGCUAACUUAUGAAGUUGAUGGUAAGAGUAUGUUAGGGUGUCAUGUUGUGAUCCUUU